rnacentral:lncRNA from 1 species
GUGUAGCUUGUUUGCAGAGGUAUUAUUGGGGGGAAAGAAAGCUGAGUAUUUCGAGAGGCUUCGUUGGGAGUGCCCUCUCAGAUAUGAGGAAGGGUUGAGCAUUUUUACAGGUCUGCCUGUCCGUUGAGGAUGGAGGUCGACAUAUAUAGGAGUUUCCCUAACAACAAGUAGUAAUGAUAUUCCUUUACCCUGCUUGGUCAUAGCACGGUAGUGGGAGCUGUCAGCUUCACGUGU